GGCAUCUCUGGCUGGAGAUCCCUGCCUAUCUGAGGCCUUCCAAAGGCUUCCCUGAACGAAACGUAAGAUUUUAAAGCUGAGUUGACACCUACUGGUUAAUUUCUGGCCUACUGCAUGGGAAACUACCUUUCUGACAACUCUAUUUGCCUAAGGCUAGGCUGACUUGUGACUAGGCCAACAAGGUUCAGAAGACUUUCUGGGUUUUUUUUUUUUUUAGAAUAAACAUCUGAGAGUAUAAGCAAACAUAUUUACUCCUUAAAGCACAAGUUAUUUCCAUUCCAAGCUAGACAAGCAGACAGAAACCCACCACCAUGUUAAUCAGCUUCUCUGAUGCUAUUAAACUUCAUCAUAGUCCUAUUUUUGAGCUUUUUCAUGCUGUGCACAGUCCAUGCAGCAUAGAGCCAAAAUCAAGGAUGUUUUUCUUUUAUGCAGCAAGUAACAACAUACUACAAGUUCACACACAAGGACACGCAAGGCUAUGGUAACCCCCUGCCGGCAUUAACAAGCUGAGGCUGCUACGUCUGUACAAGGUUCAAACGAUUUUACGCUGCUAUUGAACACCACCUUUGCUCCCAUGGCUGCUACGUUCAACUGUCGGUGUGAUUAGCAAAGCAAACAGCGUGCUGUGCUCAUCAGGCUACGGGCAGAUCUCAAGCCUCGCGUUAAGGAAGCCUUUCAAAAGAGAUAAAGAAACAUUUCGCACUCUAAACUAGGUCUAAGCAAGCCUGUAACUUCAGACAGCGUGUUUCUUUAACGUUUUGUAACCGUCUCCGCGGCAGCGAAAACAGGAUCUACCAUCGGUGCCAUAGUUAUUUGGAAAAUGCUCUUUGUUUCCUUCCGUGAUGAGCUCAUGCGGAAGCCCCUACGUUUCAAAUCUGCAAUCUAGCUUUGUUCAGCCUUGGAAAUUACUCAGCGUGCUCUCCGGCUUUGAAAUUUCCCUGUGAAAGAACGAGCAGGGAAAACAGAAAUCUCAGAAAGGACCUUUCACGCUUCUUAUUCCUCUGCCAGGCUUGACUAACUUUCCAUGUACGUUACCAGCGAUCACGAAAACUGCCAUUUAAAGAUGGCAAGUAUCCCAGUCUUCUUCAUCAUUGGCUUUACUCCAGGGAGUUUAUGCAGACUUUAAAUCACAGAUGCAAAAAACGAAGCGAAAGGACUCUCCCCAUCUCCAAGGCAAACCCUGCCGAGAAGGCAGUGCCGGGUUUCCCGUCCCCCCGGGAGCACGGGUGGCCGAGCGCCCCACACCCGGCUCGGCCCGCUCCCGGACAGCCGGGCCGGGGCGCGGGACGGUCCGCUCCCGCAGCGCGGCGGCGCCUGCCUUAAGCGCGCAGGGUGUGCGGAAAGGAGGGCACGGGGAAAGGAAGAGCGGGAGGUAUAACGCACCCAAGCGCGCCGCGAAGGUCUCGUCUACAGCAGCGUGGCCAGCUCCGGCAUGGGAACGGGCGGGGCUUCGAGCAGGGCGGCGAGGGACGCCCUUCUGUGUUUCAGAGCACGGCUUAAAUGCUUUUCCCUCAUGCUUCCCAAGGCUACGGGAGACCUCAGCCGCCCCCGCGCGUGGAUAGCAGCAGUCGCUGUGCAAGGUCGAGAUCCCUCUCGCUGAGGGUCGAGGGCAGUGCUUUUGGUUGCCUUACUCUCCGUUAUUCUCUGCCGCGCCAAGUACGUCAGCCCUUACGGUUUAUCGUGACUUUGGCCAUCGGGUAUUUUGGAGCGAGGCAAGGCAAGGACUGCGCUGCUGGCUCGGUCACACCCUUCACCAGAAGGAACCGAGCUGCGCAAUUCCGCACACCCCGUCCGUCAAGAUGGCGGCGCUGUAGGAAAGGACGCUGCCGUGUGAAAGGGCGCGGCGCCUCCCGCCGGCCGCUGCGCGCGGAUGGCUGCCGGCGCCUCACGCUGCGUGUGCGCCGUGUCUGACGCGGAUAUUCCGGCCGUGAAGAUUUACCUUCGCGGCUCUUCGUCCGUGAGGCUGGCAGGUAGGACUCCACUCUCAGGAAAGCUUAGUAUUAGGAUAAAGACUUGUAUUUCGUAUCUAUUAUAGGAGUUGUCUGUGUACAAUAUUUUUAUAUUCCACAAUGUUGACAAAAUACAUUCAUGGUAAGUUAAGGCAGCAGCUAAGGGCUGAGGCUGAAGUGCUGCCUAGCUGUUAUAUCACUGAAUGAUCCCACGGUGAGUCAUAAAUUCAGGAAGUUUACUGAUGCUAGUGCAGCAUGACAGCUGAUACGCCUAACAUACUUAUGUAAAAUCAUGGUCCUCUAUUGAUAAACUCUCGAUAAACCAAAUGAUCCCUUAAAAAAAGGUAUAGAGGAACACGUUAGUUUGUAUCUUUGUAUUCUACAAUCUUUUUGCCCAAUUAAGCUAAGCAGCACACUGAUGUUACGCGUUCUGAAAACGUGCUUACCAUAACUUCUAAACCUGCAUCCAUCUGCUAGUGAUAGGAAAAGAAGAAUGUAUCUCUUCAGCUGCUGAAAAUCAGAGAGUAGAAUCAGUUGAGUUGGAAGGGACCUUCAAAGGUUAACUCGUUUGUAAUAGUGAAGCAGCAGGACUAAUGUUUGAAAAGACUCAUCCCACACAACUUGCAGCAGCCUCUCUUCAGACUCUGAAGCAUUCAGUACAGAACAGAGACCGAUAAAAAGUGAACCUAUAGAACAGUAUGAAAACAAGCUUUACCAACAAGAAACUAAAACCGAGAGCGACUAUUGCUUAGUUUCCCAAAGCAUUAUGCAAUGUGUGGCUGGGAGGCAGUGGAAAGCUGUGUCAGCACACACAGCAUGAGAACAGCUGAAAUGAGAAAUGUGCAUCUUAAGCUAAGAUUCACCGAUAGCACAUGUAAUGCUGGCUCUUAAUAGUUAACUGAAUUUUAGGUUGUUGAUCAGAAGAAAUCUUACACCGUUUAGUCUUAGGCCCACAUAGAGGGGGAGAAAAGUGAGUAUUAGCUUUUGCAAAUGUGUAUGCUUUCUGGGGGUACCUAAGGGACAGCAUGGAAAUACUUGGUGCAGUGGACUUCACACAGUAUGUUCUUCAUUUGCUCGAUGACAGACUGAUUGAUCUGCGUAGAGAUGUUUGAAGAAGACUUUAGGCAAAAAAUAAUUUGUGCACUAUGAACAGAGCUUUGAGCAAUGUCAUGCAGAGAUGCAAAGCUCCACUGAACACUACAGCUGCCCUCUCACAUCAACCGAUGCUUACUGGCUCUAAAAAUAAAGCCCUAUUGUAAUUCCAUUUAAAAAUGUUAUGUAAAUAUAUAUAUAUAAGGUACUUUUAAGCCUUUAAGAUAGGAGCUUCAAUUUUAUUUUAAUAAACCUGCGAUAUGUGACAUAGCUA